UACUUCCCUGAUCGCGGUGUCGUGAGAGAAAAUUAAAAAAGAAUAAACUUUUGAAUGGGGGAAAAGAAAAUUUCGUAAACUUUCGUAUUGUCAUCUUAGUUAAGUGAUAAGUAAAGUCACCAUCAAUUAAAAAGGAGACAGACUAGUAUGUUAUGCUUGUAAUUAUUACGUCGAUUAAUGAAGACAAAACGUGCGUUCAUUGCUAACAAAUUGAAAUUGUGGUAACUUAACACGCCUUGGUUGCAGUAUAGAUAGAGCCAUUGCAUGCAUACCUACCAUGAGUUCA